rnacentral:rRNA from 1 species
AGUCGAGCGGACAGAAGGGAGCUUGCUCCCGGAUGUUAGCGGCGGACGGGUGAGUAACACGUGGGUAACCUGCCUGUAAGACUGGGAUAACUCCGGGAAACCGGAGCUAAUACCGGAUAGUUCCUUGAACCGCAUGGUUCAAGGAUGAAAGACGGUUUCGGCUGUCACUUACAGAUGGACCCGCGGCGCAUUAGCUAGUUGGUGGGGUAAUGGCUCACCAAGGCGACGAUGCGUAGCCGACCUGAGAGGGUGAUCGGCCACACUGGGACUGAGACACGGCCCAGACUCCUACGGGAGGCAGCAGUAGGGAAUCUUCCGCAAUGGACGAAAGUCUGACGGAGCAACGCCGCGUGAGUGAUGAAGGUUUUCGGAUCGUAAAGCUCUGUUGUUAGGGAAGAACAAGUGCGAGAGUAACUGCUCGCACCUUGACGGUACCUAACCAGAAAGCCACGGCUAACUACGUGCCAGCAGCCGCGGUAAUACGUAGGUGGCAAGCGUUGUCCGGAAUUAUUGGGCGUAAAGGGCUCGCAGGCGGUUUCUUAAGUCUGAUGUGAAAGCCCCCGGCUCAACCGGGGAGGGUCAUUGGAAACUGGGAAACUUGAGUGCAGAAGAGGAGAGUGGAAUUCCACGUGUAGCGGUGAAAUGCGUAGAGAUGUGGAGGAACACCAGUGGCGAAGGCGACUCUCUGGUCUGUAACUGACGCUGAGGAGCGAAAGCGUGGGGAGCGAACAGGAUUAGAUACCCUGGUAGUCCACGCCGUAAACGAUGAGUGCUAAGUGUUAGGGGGUUUCCGCCCCUUAGUGCUGCAGCUAACGCAUUAAGCACUCCGCCUGGGGAGUACGGUCGCAAGACUGAAACUCAAAGGAAUUGACGGGGGCCCGCACAAGCGGUGGAGCAUGUGGUUUAAUUCGAAGCAACGCGAAGAACCUUACCAGGUCUUGACAUCCUCUGACAACCCUAGAGAUAGGGCUUUCCCUUCGGGGACAGAGUGACAGGUGGUGCAUGGUUGUCGUCAGCUCGUGUCCUGAGAUGUUGGGUUAAGUCCCGCAACGAGCGCAACCCUUGAUCUUAGUUGCCAGCAUUCAGUUGGGCACUCUAAGGUGACUGCCGGUGACAAACCGGAAGAA